AUGAGGGAUCUUGUGUUUGUGAAAUUCAACUCUAAACUAAGGAACAAGAGAGAGAACAAAAACAGAGAUCCCAUAGAGAAAGAAGUAGAUGAUGUUCUUGCUGAUUAUGACAAUAAGUUCAUCACUGGGAAAGAACCAACUACAGAAGUAGAUCAAGAACAAGAGAAAGCUCAUGAAGAUGCAUCGGAAGAGGCACCAAACAGGGCAUCAUCAUCACAGGGACAAGCCAAAAGGAAGAGGAUUUCUUGGCCUAGGAAGAAAAUCAAGAUUGUGAGCCUAUAG
rnacentral:rRNA from 1 species